UCUCUGGUGGUCUAGUGGUUAAGACUCCGUGCUUCCACUGCAGGGGGCAUAGGUUUGAUCCCUGGUCAGGGAA
rfam:TPA: Bos taurus chromosome 13, whole genome shotgun sequence.